GCCAGUGUGGUAUAGUGGUUGAGCAUUAGACUACGACUCUGGAGACCAGAGUUCAAUUUCCUGCUGAGCCA